UGGUGGCUCUGAGACAACACCACCUUGUCCCCCUGGGGGAGGAAUGGAGCAGGAGGUGAGGACACACUUUCAUCACAGUUUCCCUGCUUAGUUUCAGAAACAUGAAGACUCAGUGAAAUUGUGUUUUCACAAUUACCUUUUGGAGUAGAAGAUGUCUACCCCAUCCAAUCACCAAGGGUAAGUCAAUCUGAGGUGUGCCCUGCCCACAAUCUCCUAGGCAACCAUGUUCUUAAUCUUGCAGUCCUCUCGGCCACGACUCACUGGGCUAACCCCCUGAAAGGGUGGGGUUCAGACAGGGACAACCUGCACGUGGGAUGCAUUUUGAACAAGCAAGGAGCCUUUCACCACUGUCAGGUGCCUGACUAGUCCUCCAAUAAGUUAACCCAGCAGGGCAACUCCUUCAGGCUCUGGGACCAGGUUGGAAUGUCGUAAGAAUGAGAAGUCAACAAGUACGUGGAAAACAGGAAAGGGCGAGGUACUCCUGCUAAAUGGAUGGGGUGAAGGGCUCGUCAGGCAAAAGACUGGAUUUGGAUAGAGUCAGCAUGAGACUGGCUUUCCCGGCUUGAACACUGAUGUCCAAUCCUCGUGACUUUCUGAAAUGAGCAUAUGUCCAUUUCCACUUUGCCCAGGAAGACAGUGAGACUCAGUCACGGGACUUGUUCAAAGUUUACAGCUGAUGGCAAGGGAUAGAGUUGGGGUUCAAACUCAGACAGCUUCCGGAUCGUGAUUGCUCCCAUCCAAACGCUAUAAUCGUUAGAAUGAAUAUCUUUUUAUUAAAAUGCUUAAUAAUAAAUAGCAAACUCAACAUGUGACCUAUGUGAAUUCUAAGACCAUGAAAAUUUAGGGGGAAAAUAGACAAGAUAGUUUUGAGUUCCACAACAUUAAUUCCGUUUUUACAAGGUUAAUCUCAUUUCCCAAAUUUUUCAUCAAGACCUUUUUCAUCAAGCCCCCUUCUUUUACGAAUGGAUUACAGAUUAGGUGUAAAUUGGUACAAUACGUCUGUAUAGCAAUUUAGCAAUGUGUACAAAGAACCUCAAAAAGAUUCAUACCAGUUGAUCAGGAUGACCUUAUGAUUCGUCCUGCAAAUCAGGACACUUUUGAGAGUAACAGGGAGUACCAUUACUAGUUACAUCAGGAAAACAGGAGGAAACAGGAUCUAUAUGGGCAAGCUGGAGCUGUGGACAAUCUAUUUUAGACCAAGCAAGUGUACAUCAAGGACCCAUCCUAAAGAAAUUCCUUCAGUCAUCCAUCGUUCAUUAACUCGCAAAUUUUAAUUGAGUAUCUACUAUAUGCAAAUACAACAUUUAUGUCAAAGGACCAUGAUGGCAGUGUUGAUUUUGAGAGCAAUAACUAGGAAACCAUCUCCACGUCCAUCGUCAGUGGGACAGUUACAUUCCAGAAGAUGCAGAUGAUGGAAGACCAGGCAGAUAUCAAAAAUCAAGUUUUCCCAUAAAAAAACAAUAGAAAACAUAGCAAAAUAUUAAAUAAAAAGUAUGAAACAACUGUAUGUUUAUACAAUCUUAAUUUUGUAAGGAUAGAUGAACAUGUGUGUGUUUACGCAUCAACAUAGACAAAAAUAGCAGGCAAUAUAUCGAAGGGGUAAUGGUAGAUUUCUCUGGAUAGUAACGUGAUGAGUGAUCUCUGUUUCCUUCUAAGUGGCUUUUUCUUUCUGUAUUUUUUAAUUUUCCACAUGAGCAUAUGUUAGUUUAGCACAAGAAACAGGACACAAAAUAUCACCGGCGGAGUCAGGAGAGGCGCACUGCACAAUGUGAAGAGCAGACGCUCCCACCUCAGUCAGACUAGACUCUGACUGCGUGACCUUGCACAAGUGUUGUUGCCCCUCUGAGCCUCUGUUCCCGAACCUACAGAGUAGGAGGGAUGGCAGCACCUUCUCACUGAUCCACUGGGAGGAUGACUGAGCAGCGCUGGUUGCCUCCCCUCCCCAACCUGUCCUCGACCCAGUGCCGCCAUCUUGGUCACUGGCUUUCUCAGAUCCGGGCUUUCUGUCUCCUGGAAGAAGAAACCAAAGCUAAGGGAGUUGCUGUCUGCAGUUUCUUCAGCUUGACAAUGCACGACACUUUGGUAAUUCCAAGAGUGACAUCUUCUUGCCAGCAACAUUGGGCCCGCGGAGCCCCAGUCCAGGACUCUGCCACACAUUCGCUGUCUUCAACAACAGCAACGCUUGAACAGAUCUUUGUUGAGUGGACCUCUCAGUCAGAUCCCAGCUGUGCAGCUCACUAGCUUUGUGACCUAGGGUGGGUUGUUUGAUCUCUCUGUGCCUUGGGUUCCUCAGAUGUAAAAUGACAAUAAAA
ensembl:lncRNA